AGGGUGCAAGCGUUAAUCGGAAUUACUGGGCGUAAAGCGAGCGUAGGUGGCUUGAUAAGUCAGAUGUGAAAGCCCCGGGCUUAACCUGGGAACGGCAUCUGAUACUGUUAGGCUAGAGUAGGUGAGAGGAAGGUAGAAUUCCAGGUGUAGCGGUGAAAUGCGUAGAGAUCUGGAGGAAUACCGAUGGCGAAGGCAGCCUUCUGGCAUCAUACUGACACUGAGGUUCGAAAGCGUGGGUAGCAAACAGGAUUAGAUACCCUGGUAGUCCACGCCGUAAACGAUGUCUACUAGUCGUUGGGUCCCUUGAGGACUUAGUGACGCAGCUAACGCAAUAAGUAGACCGCCUGGGGAGUACGGCCGCAAGGUUAAAACUCAAAUGAAUUGACGGGGGCCCGCACAAGCGGUGGAGCAUGUGGUUUAAUUCGAUGCAACGCGAAGAACCUUACCUGGUCUUGACAUAUCUAGAAUCCUGCAGAGAUGCGGGAGUGCCUUCGGGAAUUAGAAUACAGGUGCUGCAUGGCUGUCGUCAGCUCGUGUCGUGAGAUGUUGGGUUAAGUCCCGCAACGAGCGCAACCCUUGUCCUUAGUUACCAGCGGUUUGGCCGGGAACUCUAAGGAUACUGCCAGUGACAAACUGGAGGAAGGCGGGGACGACGUCAAGUCAUCAUGGCCCUUACGACCAGGGCUACACACGUGCUACAAUGGUAGGUACAGAGGGCAGCUACACAGCGAUGUGAUGCGAAUCUCAAAAAGCCUAUCGUAGUCCAGAUUGGAGUCUGCAACUCGACUCCAUGAAGUAGGAAUCGCUAGUAAUCGCGGAUCAGAAUGCCGCGGUGAAUACGUUCCCGGGCCUUGUACACACCGCCCGUCACACCAUGGGAGUUGAUUGCUNCCAGAAGUGGUUAGCCUAACCUGUCAGGAAGGCGAACCCCCUAGAGUGUU
rnacentral:rRNA from 1 species